rfam:Schistosoma rodhaini strain Burundi genome assembly, scaffold: SROB_scaffold0020513
AUAAAGGCCCUUUUCAAGGCCACCGACAAUUUGAUUUAAAUUUUGU